rnacentral:tRNA from 1 species
GUUCUUGUAGUAAAAUAAUUACAGUGGCUCUUCAAGCCAUUAAUUUCAGUUAGAGUCUGAGCGGGAAUU